rnacentral:rRNA from 1 species
GAGUAACACGUAUUCAACCUUCCGGUAACUCGGGGAUAGCCUUUCGAAAGAAAGAUUAAUACUCGAUAGUAUAUUUUCUUCGCAUGUUGAAAAUAUUAAAGAAUUUCGGUUAUCGAUGGGAAUGCGUUCCAUUAGGCAGUUGGCGGGGUAACGGCCCACCAAACCUACGAUGGAUAGGGGUUCUGAGAGGAAGGUCCCCCACAUUGGAACUGAGACACGGUCCAAACUCCUACGGGAGGCAGCAGUGAGGAAUAUUGGUCAAUGGACGCAAGUCUGAACCAGCCAAGUAGCGUGAAGGAUGACUGCCCUAUGGGUUGUAAACUUCUUUUAUAUGGGAAUAAAGUGCGCCACGUGUGGUGUUUUGUAUGUACCAUUAUGAAUAAGCAUCGGCUAACUCCGUGCCAGCAGCCGCGGUAAUACGGAGGAUGCGAGCGUUAUCCGGAUUUAUUGGGUUUAAAGGGAGCGUAGGUGGGCUGGUAAGUCAGCUGUGAAAGUUUGCGGCUCAACCGUAAAAUUGCAGUUGAUACUGUCAGUCUUGAGUACAGUAGAGGUUAGCGGAAUUCGUGGUGUAGCGGUGAAAUGCUUAGAUAUCACGAAGAACUCCAAUUGCGAAGGCAGCUGACUAGACUGUUACUGACACUGAUGCUCGAAAGUGUGGGUAUCAAACAGGAUUAGAUACCCUGGUAGUCCACACAGUAAACGAUGAGUACUCGCUGUUUGCGAUAUAC